UACGUAGGGUGCGAGCGUUAAUCGGAAUUACUGGGCGUAAAGUGUGCGCAGGCGGCCGAGCAAGUCGAGUGUGAAAGCCCCGAGCUUAACUUGGGAACUGCGCUCGAAACUACUUGGCUAGAGUGUGGCAGAGGGAGGUGGAAUUCCACGUGUAGCGGUGAAAUGCGUAGAGAUGUGGAGGAACACCGAUGGCGAAGGCAGCCUCCUGGGCCAACACUGACGCUCAUGCACGAAAGCGUGGGAGCAAACAGG
rnacentral:rRNA from 1 species